UACAGAGGUCUCGAGCGUUGCUCGGAAUCACUGGGCGUAAAGCGCACGUAGGCGGAUCUUUAAGUCAGGGGUGAAAUCCUGGAGCUCAACUCCAGAACUGCCUUUGAUACUGGGGAUCUCGAGUCCGGGAGAGGUGAGUGGAACUCCGAGUGUAGAGGUGAAAUUCGUAGAUAUUCGGAAGAACACCAGUGGCGAAGGCGGCUCACUGGCCCGGUACUGACGCUGAGGUGCGAAAGCGUGGGGAGCAAACAGG
rnacentral:rRNA from 1 species